CCUACGGAUGGCAGCAGUGAGGAAUAUUGGUCAAUGGACUAGAGUCUGAACCAGCCAAGUAGCGUGAAGGAUGACUGCCCUAUGGGUUGUAAACUUCUUUUAUAUGGGAAUAAAAUGUUCCACGUGUGGGAUUUUGUAUGUACCAUAUGAAUAAGGAUCGGCUUACUCCGUGCCAGCAGACGCGGUAAUACGGAGGAUCCGCACGUUAUUCGGAUUUUUUGGGUUUUAAGGGAGCGUAGGUGGGUUGUUAAGUCAGUUGUGAAAGUUUGCGGCUCAACCGUAAAAUUGCAGUUGAAACUGGCAGUCUUGAGUACAGUAGAGGUGGGCGGAAUUCGUGGUGUAGCGGUGAAAUGCUUAGAUAUCACGAAGAACUCCGAUUGCGAAGGCAGUUCACUGGACUGCAACUGACACUGAGGCUCGAAAGUGUGGGUAUCAAACAGGAUUAGAUACCCUUGUAGUC
rnacentral:rRNA from 1 species